GAUCGGUGCUUGCACCGAGAUUCAACAUGGCCACGAGUGGCGGACGGGUGAGUAACACGUGGGUAACCUGCCCUUAAGUGGGGGAUAACAUUUGGAAACAGAUGCUAAUACCGCAUAGAUCCAAGAACCGCAUGGUUCUUGGCUGAAAGAUGGCGUAAGCUAUCGCUUUUGGAUGGACCCGCGGCGUAUUAGCUAGUUGGUGAGGUAAUGGCUCACCAAGGCGAUGAUACGUAGCCGAACUGAGAGGUUGAUCGGCCACAUUGGGACUGAGACACGGCCCAAACUCCUACGGGAGGCAGCAGUAGGGAAUCUUCCACAAUGGACGCAAGUCUGAUGGAGCAACGCCGCGUGAGUGAAGAAGGCUUUCGGGUCGUAAAACUCUGUUGUUGGAGAAGAAUGGUCGGCAGAGUAACUGUUGUCGGCGUGACGGUAUCCAACCAGAAAGCCACGGCUAACUACGUGCCAGCAGCCGCGGUAAUACGUAGGUGGCAAGCGUUAUCCGGAUUUAUUGGGCGUAAAGCGAGCGCAGGCGGUUUUUUAAGUCUGAUGUGAAAGCCCUCGGCUUAACCGAGGAAGCGCAUCGGAAACUGGGAAACUUGAGUGCAGAAGAGGACAGUGGAACUCCAUGUGUAGCGGUGAAAUGCGUAGAUAUAUGGAAGAACACCAGUGGCGAAGGCGGCUGUCUGGUCUGUAACUGACGCUGAGGCUCGAAAGCAUGGGUAGCGAACGGGAUUAGAUACCCUGGUAGUCCAUGCCGUAAACGAUGAAUGCUAGGUGUUGGAGGGUUUCCGCCCUUCAGUGCCGCAGCUAACGCAUUAAGCAUUCCGCCUGGGGAGUACGACCG
rnacentral:rRNA from 1 species